UACGGAGGGUGCAAGCGUUAAUCGGAAUUACUGGGCGUAAAGGGUGCGUAGGUGGUGAGAUAAGUUAUCUGUGAAAUCCCCGGGCUUAACCUGGGAACUGCGUUUGAAACUGAGGAGCUAGAGUGUGGAAGAGGGGGGUGGAAUUCCAGGUGUAGCAGUGAAAUGCGUAGAGAUCUGGAGGAACACCGAUGGCGAAGGCAGCCCCCUGGGCUAACACUGACGCUCAUGCACGAAAGCGUGGAGAGCAAACAGG
rnacentral:rRNA from 1 species